GACGAACGCUGGCGGCGUGCUUAACACAUGCAAGUCGAACGAAGUGGCGAACGGGUGAGUAACGCGUAAUCAACCUGCCCUUCAGAGGGGGAUAACAGUUGGAAAAGACUGCUAAUACCGCAUACUGAAGGAGGGGAUUGCGUCCGAGUAGCUAGUUGGAGUGGUAACGGCCCACCAAGGCGUUGAUCAGUAGCCGGUCUGAGAGGUUGAACGGCCACCUUGGAACUGAUACACGGCCCAGACUCCUACGGGAGGCAGCAGUGGGGAAUCUUCCGCAAUGGACGAAAGUCUGACGGAGCAACGCCGCGUGAGUGAUGACGGCCUUCGGGUUGUAAAGCUCUGUUAAUCGGGACGCGGUACCGGAAUAGAAAGCCACGGCUAUCUACGUGCCAGCCGCCGCGGUAAUUC
rnacentral:rRNA from 1 species